GUAGCCAAAUUUUAUUAAUUUGCCUUUACCAAAUAAUUUGAAUUUCCUUUUAAUUAAAACUAGCAACAAGAGUUUUGAGUUCAAAAACCAUUCAAACAUCAUGGAAUUAAACCGGAAAGUGUUAACAUUUAUUAAAUACUUAUUAAAUACUUGUAAUGAUAAUGAUAAUAAUAAUAAGAAGAAGAAGAUGAAGAAUAAAUUAAUUAAAAAUGAUAAUAAUAAUAAUAAGAAGAUGAAGAAUAAAUUAAUUAAAAAUGAAUUAAAAUCCGAGUCGGUGUGCAGGCGGAAGGCGGGUCACUCCAGGCUGCUGCAGUCGUCGUCACUGUCGCUGCUAGUUGUAUCAUGAUCCAGGAUGACCGGGGAAGGACUCGGAGGAGGAAGACUGAACUGCUGGGGACCUGGAAUGUAGAAGAUCAUCGUUAAGCGUACAAUUUGGUGACAUGGGAGGCAAAAGCUAGCUUCUUCCCUCCUCUGCCAAGCCAGUUGAAUUUCAGCACGAAGUGGUUGGUGAGGAUGUGGCGAAGGAUUCUUCGAACCGCGUCGCCAGGAUUGCAGCCCCCAAGCGCACUAAGGUGUGCUGCCUGCAGAUAGAGUGUCUGCUGCUGCUGCUGCUGCUGUCGUUUUUUGCCUAGUAAGGGCCUGGAGGAGGAGGUUGUUCUGCCUCACCAAGGCCUUCAACUCCUCCACAGCACGCAGGAGUGCAUGAUCCCGUUCUACAGGACAGAAAAACAUCAUGACUGUCAUGUCAAGAGGUGCUCCUGGUUUGGGCUUUUUUCUGGUUCAUACGCGCUGCAUCAUAAUUGGCUGUUGAAGACAACAAUGAAGUGAGUAAAGCUUUUAAAGCCUAAGGGGAGAAAAGUGGUACAUCCUACUUUUGUCUGUCUCACCAAAGGUUUUCACCACCUCCACAAAAAACUCCCCAGUUCUCAUCUGGCAUAGCGCUUUGGAUGACUGCAAUUUUCGUCCGCUUGGUGUCUUUAUACGGUGGCCAAAAAGACACCUUGCCGUCCAAACUUAGCCACGAGCAAGGCACAACCUCCACCUCAUUUGACUCGGUUCCCAACCACAGCUGUCCCCAGUGCAGUUGAAUCAACAGGGUGGUUGAAAAAUGGACGUUGGUCUAAAUAUUGCCUCGCCACAAAAGACAUACCACCAAGUGUCCUGCUAAUUGCCUCUAUUUUAAAAGUGGCACCACCACACGAAACUGUGUUGUUCCCAUCCUUUGUGGACAGGGUAAAUCUAUCAGUGGCGUACUGUGUUGUUGAGGGUGAACUUUGGUUAUGGGAAGAUGGACAGACUGGGUUGAUGCUUGAUUUUUCCGUUAAUCGUUUAACAAUUUGUUGUAAUGUCUGGUUUGGCUUUCUAAUUAGUUUCUUUAAUUUAUACAAGAAAUUUUCGAAGGGAAAGGCAGAAAUUUGGGGUAGUGGGCCAUAUUUUCUAACAUCACUUGCCAGGUGGAUCAAGCUGUGGACGUUAUACACCAGAAAGUCCCCAUAGAUGGCGUGAAAAUUCUGAACGAACACUACCAGGAGAUUUUCCGUAUAGUCACAAUAACGGUGGUGGAGACGGGGGGAACAUAAAAUUGUUAUUGCUACGUGGAGUAAAAGAAAAUGUUGAUACAUGUGUUUUGGUAGGUUUUUUUUUUAAUGCAAUGGGGCCAGUGUAUAGUAAAAAAGUCCUAAAUUCAGUGGCCUUCCACCGAUCAACCUCACGGAGGGACCUUCCCUUGCGUCCAAACUCCUUUGGCAGCCUCUUGCCCAAUUUGAUUAAGUUCUCUGAAAUAAUGCAGAUGGAUUGACUCCCAAUGCGGGUUGGAAGGGGCCCUCUCUGCCACAGCCAGAUCAACUUUCUCAUCACUCCUAGGCACACCAGGUGCAUAAAGUCCAGCACAAAUUGGGUCACCAAGCCUACAUCUAGGUGUUGUAAUGGACUGUCGCCCUCUUUGUGAUGUUCCUGGUUGACUUUUGUGGCAAAACUGUCAUCGGUUCUGAGAACCGCAUCUGUUUCGGAGUAAUUUAGGCGUCGGUUUGCCCAUGAGCCCUCUUGCAUGCACCUUUCGCAGCCGUAAUAGGAAUUGUGUGCUUUUAUGUUUUUUAGAAAUGCCCUUGCCGGUGCAUCACAGACAAAACAGGAAAUUUCGAUUUUUUUUUUUUGACUGAUACUCCAAGCCAUCAGAUGCAAGCUUCCCCAUCUCUGCCACAAAGUCAGAGAGGUACUCGCUUGCAUCGGUUGGCUUGGAGUAUCCGCAAUAUAAACCAAUUAGAAAUGGGGAUCUAAUGGGGUCCUCUUCAAUUAGUGCAAGAAUUGGCCAAAAUUGCUGGCUGCUGCUUUUAAAAAGGGCCAGGCCAUCCACAUUUAUUUGUAGUUUUAGUGUUUGGUUUUUAGCUAAGUCCUGUUCUUGCAUUCGGCCCAAGAUCCCUUUUGCCACACCAAAAUAGUGCAUGUUCCCCCCAGCUUUUGGUACUAUCUCCGCAUAAGUAGGGGUUGACAGGAGAGUGCGGCCGUCUUUUGGCAGUUUGGAAUCUGGGAAGUGCUUGCGAAGCACGGAGAGCAGGCUGGAAAUGUGGGAAAUUGGUGUAUUUGUUGUGAUUGCCCAUUCCUUGAGCUCAUGUCUUAAGUCCCUUUGAAAACUGCCCCCCUCCUCUGAAUCUGAGCCACUGCUAGAGCUCGACAAAUCAUUGAACUCCCAGUCAUCCUCGCCAGAGGAGGCGCUCUCCUCUGAUGCCAUUACCCAAUCCCCAUCUCCGC
ensembl:lncRNA